rnacentral:rRNA from 1 species
UGCAGUCAAACGGAUCCUUCGGGAUUAGUGGCGGACGGGUGAGUAACACGUGGGAACGUGCCUUUUGGUUCGGAACAACUCAGGGAAACUUGAGCUAAUACCGAAUGUGCCCUUCGGGGGAAAGAUUUAUCGCCAUUAGAGCGGCCCGCGUCUGAUUAGCUAGUUGGUGAGGUAAAGGCUCACCAAGGCUACGAUCAGUAGCUGGUCUGAGAGGAUGAUCAGCCACAUUGGGACUGAGACACGGCCCAAACUCCUACGGGAGGCAGCAGUGGGGAAUCUUGCGCAAUGGGCGAAAGCCUGACGCAGCCAUGCCGCGUGAAUGAUGAAGGUCUUAGGAUUGUAAAAUUCUUUCACCGGGGACGAUAAUGACGGUACCCGGAGAAGAAGCCCCGGCUAACUUCGUGCCAGCACCCGCGGUAAUCCGAAGGGGGCUAGCGUUGCUCGGAAUUUCUGGGCGUAAAGGGAGCGUAGGCGGAUAGUUUAGUCAGAGGUGAAAGCCCAGGGCUCAACCUUGGAAUUGCCUUUGAUACUGGCUAUCUUGAGUAUGGGAGAGGUUAGCGGAACUCCGAGUGUAGAGGUGAAAUUCGUAGAUCUUCGGAAGAACACCAGUGCCGAAGGCGGCUAACUGGCCCAUUACUGACGCUGAGGCUCGAAAGCGUGGGGAGCAAACAGGAUUAGAUACCCUGGUAGUCCACGCCGUAAUCGAUGAG